rnacentral:rRNA from 1 species
AUGCACGCUGGCGGCGUGCCUAAUACAUGCCAGUCGAGCGAACGGACGAGAAGCUUGCUUUUCUGAUGUUAGCGGCGGACGGGUGAGUAACACGUGGAUAACCUACCUAUAAGACUGGGAUAACUUCGGGAAACCGGAGCUAAUACCGGAUAAUAUUUUGAACCGCAUGGUUCAAAAGUGAAAGACGGUCUUGCUGUCACUUAUAGAUGGAUCCGCGCUGCAUUAGCUAGUUGGUAAGGUAACGGCUUACCAAGGCAACGAUGCAUAGCCGACCUGAGAGGGUGAUCGGCCACACUGGAACUGAGACACGGUCCAGACUCCUACGGGAGGCAGCAGUAGGGAAUCUUCCGCAAAGGGCGAAAGCCUGACGGAGCAACGCCGCGUGAGUGAUGAAGGUCUUCGGAUCGUAAAACUCUGUUAUUAGGGAAGAACAUAUGUGUAAGUAACUGUGCACAUCUUGACGGUACCUAAUCAGAAAGCCACGGCUAACUACGUG